GGGUGGUUAGCUCAGAUGGUUAGAGCGCUACGUUGACAUCGUAGAGGUCGUUGGUUCGAUCCCAAUACCACCCACCA
rnacentral:tRNA from 1 species